ACGUAGGGUGCAGGCGUUAAUCGGAAUUACUGGGCGUAAAGCGUGCGCAGGCGGUCUAUUAAGACAGGUGUGAAAUCCCCGGGCUUAACCUGGGAACUGCGCUUGUAACUGAUAGGCUUGAGUGUGGCAGAGGGGGGUGGAAUUCCAGGUGUAGCAGUGAAAUGCGUAGAUAUCUGGAGGAACACCGAUGGCGAAGGCAGCCCCCUGGGCUAACACUGACGCUCAUGCACGAAAGCGUGGGGAGCAAACAGUA
rnacentral:rRNA from 1 species